CCCUCUCAAGACAUGUGGAGAUUAUGGGAACUACAAUUCAAGAUGAGACUUGGUUGGGGACACAGCCAAACUAUAUAAACAUCUAACAGGAAUCCUUGGUUAGAGCUUCUGCAUCUGCUUGCAGAUGGGAGAAGAGAGUGAGAAAGAAAAGUGGCCAAAUUCAAAUACCUGUGGCACGUUCAAGUGGGAAAAUAAAGAAGAAAAAGCCCAUACCACUUCAGUCUUUUUUGAUUAUAUUAAAUAUCCAGGUUUGUGUGACGCAAUCCCAAGUAAUAUUGGUAUCACUGUACUAUGAGCUAUAAGAGAAAUGUUUUAAACUUCCUAUUUUAAGGAAUAGUUUUUUAUUAUAUCAUGGCUUAUAGUUUGGUUAAUUAGCUUGUUUUCAACACAAGGGUUCUAUUCAGUGGUUGCCAGGUGUAUUCCAUGUAAUUUAGAAGAGUUCGCCUCUCUAAAUAAAUGGGUGCUACUGACAAAGACUACUCAACUUGUGAAAGUCCAACUUGCAAGCAUCCUUAAUAUCAUUUCAGGAAAAAAGUCACCUAGCUAAAUUUUUACAUAUAUAACAAUAUAACAAUAAUAACACUUAUUGAAACUGCACUAUAUGACACACCAUGUCAUGAAUGAAGCAUAUGGAUUAUUUUACUUAAGCCUUACAACUGCCAUGAGAAAUACUGUUUUAGUCUUUACUACGACAGUUGGAAAUGUACUUUUUUUUCAAUGUUGGGAACAAACAGAACUUCAACUCUGUAUUCUACUUGAGCCUUUUUCCUUUCUCCACUUAACUCUUCAUUCCACUGUAGCUUAUAGAUACUUCUUUGGAGAGUUACUAUUUGGAGACAAGUUGUAAAAAAAGAAUGUCACUAUUUUUCCUGCUGAGAACAUGCUUUUGGUUUUGCAAGUAAAAAUUCAAAGUUAAUUCCCACAAAGAAAUAAAGAUUAAAAUAAAAGUUAA
ensembl:lncRNA novel transcript